UUGAACUACAAAAUUCUAAGCAUGCUUUGCCGAAAUUAAAUGCUUUAAGAUCCUAAAACCCCAGUCCACCGUGUUUCUUACUACAUCAGAGCCCAGUGAAUGUCCCGCUGUCUUAACUAACUUACAAAACAGGGGACUCCUAGAACAUAACGAAGCAUAUUGAUAUAAUUGUCAUGUAACAUGACAAUUAUUACUCCAUUUCGUUGACGAAAUUUUCAACACAGUUUAGUAAAUCACGUUCACUACCUGGAUCGAAGCCUCAAGCUUGCUGCUGGUUCACACGCUCAGUGUACGAAUCAUGAAGAAUAAUUCCGAAGAAAGGCUGGUUUCUUUUGUUUAGGAAAUGGUAAGUUAUGUUCAGUUCUUCGCGAGCUUCCAGAAAUCGAGAAUAGUGAAGAACACAGCGAGGAGCGUCUCAUGGCUGAUGCUUACUUCGUAGUUUUUCAAGUUGUCAGAGAAAGAACUUACAGCGGAGAUAUCUGUUGGUCUACCAGACUAUCAAUGCCCUGCAAAGUCCAGGAAAUCGAUUUUGACUCGGGCUCAAUUUCAGAUUACUUCACACUAUAGAUGUUGCUGUUCUUGUACCUGUCACAUUCUCGAUCUUUUUAUCUGAUUCUUUUUCAGCUGGCAUUAUGCACCUAGUUGCUUGAAUAGGUAAUAGCAUUUUGAGGAUCCUCAAUGUAGUAGCAUCGUUGCUGUAUCAGACAAUGCUUAUACUGAGAAGAAAUCGCAAGCCGGUUUUUGAUCCAUUAUACGGAAGGCAUAUGAAGCUACUUAUCCAGAUAAAAUCCUCACAGAAGAAAAGUACAUAACUCAUUAAAUCCUUCAAUCCUAACUGCUUGUAGGUGGCUUCAUGGGAGUAAGUUUUCACUCUGUUCUGUUACUGAUAAUUUGGCAAUCAAAGUUGUAGCUUUAAAGCAAAUUGAAUAAAACUGGAUGAUUUUUGGCUGUAUCUUGAAAUCUGGUUUUUUUACUUUCGUUACAUUAUGUUCGUUUUCCCGUCUAUUUUGAUCGCGGUUGCAAGAUCGUGAAAAUGGCCUUCGAAAAAAUGGUGUCAUUUGUAGCAUAGUGCUGGAGAAGCCUUCUCUCUGUAGGUUUAGAAAUGCCACGGAUAAGCUUAGACACCUUCAGAUGCCCCAAUACUCCAUCUUUAAGAAGUGAUCUUUAAGCCAAAUCGGCUACCAAUUCCAUAAAAUGUUGGCCCAAAGAGUAGUUCUUUUCUCAAAUGGAUCCAAAAAUAAUUCAUUAACCAAGUGUAUACAUAUAAACAAUUAGAUGAAAAUUUGAGUGCUAAAAAACUUAAGAACUGAAUUUUAAGUGCUAAAGUUUUUAGUAGUUUUUAUAAAUUGAUAAUUUAUAUAAUAUAGACAUGUGCUGGAUUUUUAAGUACGGAGGUGAUAUUUACACUCCAAAAUACAACUAAGGCACUCCACCCCCAUUUCUUAAUAAUUAAAAUGACAAAAACAACCUUCAACUACCCUUUUUAUCUCCCCCUCUUCUCUCUCCACCCUUUUACUCCGCUCAUGCGCUUGCUCUCUAUACAAGUUGUCCUAUUUUCUCGAUCUUUCUUCCACGGGCACCUGAAUCACUUCAUCUCCAUAAAAUAAAUAUCACCUUUAUGUCAAUUAGAAACAGAGAGAAAUCUAAGAUCAACUUGAAAAAAAUAAUGAAAAGUAGAGAGAGAGAAUAAAGGAGCAAACUACACCCAACAAUUCUUGACUUCUUUGGAUUUGAUACAGGGGCAAGAGGUGGUGGGGAGUGAGUGAAUGUGUCCAUAAUUCACACCAGGGUUACUCUUACGUUCUGCACACAUACUUAUUAUAUUUUCACUCCUAAUUUCACCAUCAGGUAUCCAUAACCAUUAGUGGUGAAGAAAAGAAAAGAAAAGAAAAGAAAAGAAAAUUAAACUAACACAAAUGAUACACCACACCCAUUAACCACUAGGACAUUAUAUAAUGUAUUAUACUACCAUCAAAAAUUUAUUAUUAUUAUUAUUACUAUUACUAUUAUUUCUUACAUUUUUAAGGAUAAUAAAAAUAUGGGUUAAUUUCACCUAGACCCCCUGAGGUUGGCGCAUAUUUCACCUAGAUAGAAAUUUGAUUUUUAGCGACCACUUAGACCCCAAUUUGAUUUUUGGCCUCAAACACAUGCGAAUUGACUUUUUUAUCCUCAAAAUUUUAAUACUACAAAAUAUUUUUAAUUUUAAAUGACAUAAACACCCCUCUUUCAUCUCUCUCAUCUGCGGUCUCUCUCACCCACCUCCUUCAACCACCAACACACCACCUUAAAAAGUGCAUAAACACCCACAAACAACCACCUCUGUAAUCAAUCAAACAAACCAAAUCUUACCCCAAUCACAACCCCACAAUCAACGCCCCUUAUUCACAAAAUCAGACCAUGUAAUCAACAACCAC